AGCUUUGUGCAGUGGCAGUAUCGUAGCCCAUGAGGUUUUAACGGAGGUGUGAUUAUUGAAAACUUUUCCCAAUACCCCGCUGUGAUGACUUGAAAAAUAGUCAGCCCUGGCAAUUUUGACAGUCUCUUGUGAGA